UUAAGCGACUAAGCGUACACGGUGGAUGCCCUGGCAGUCAGAGGCGAUGAAGGACGUGCUAAUCUGCGAAAAGCGUCGGUAAGGUGAUAUGAACCGUUAUAACCGGCGAUGUCCGAAUGGGGAAACCCAGUGCAAUUCGUUGCACUAUCGUUAACUGAAUACAUAGGUUAACGAGGCGAACCGGGGGAACUGAAACAUCUAAGUACCCCGAGGAAAAGAAAUCAACCGAGAUUCCCCCAGUAGCGGCGAGCGAACGGGGAGCAGCCCAGAGUCUGAAUCAGCUUGUGUGUUAGUGGAACGGUCUGGAAAGUCCGACGGUACAGGGUGAUAGUCCCGUACACCAAAAUGCACAGGCUGUGAACUCGAAGAGUAGGGCGGGACACGUGGUAUCCUGUCUGAAUAUGGGGGGACCAUCCUCCAAGGCUAAAUACUCCUGACUGACCGAUAGUGAACCAGUACCGUGAGGGAAAGGCGAAAAGAACCCCGGCGAGGGGAGUGAAAAAGAACCUGAAACCGUGUACGUACAAGCAGUGGGAGCACCUUCGGGUGUGACUGCGUACCUUUUGUAUAAUGGGUCAGCGACUUAUAUUCUGUAGCAAGGUUAACCGUAUAGGGGAGCCGAAGGGAAACCGAGUCUUAACUGGGCGUUAAGUUGCAGGGUAUAGACCCGAAACCCGGUGAUCUAGCCAUGGGCAGGUUGAAGGUUGGGUAACACUAACUGGAGGACCGAACCGACUAAUGUUGAAAAAUUAGCGGAUGACUUGUGGCUGGGGGUGAAAGGCCAAUCAAACCGGGAGAUAGCUGGUUCUCCCCGAAAGCUAUUUAGGUAGCGCCUCGUGAAUUCAUCUUCGGGGGUAGAGCACUGUUUCGGCUAGGGGGUCAUCCCGACUUACCAACCCGAUGCAAACUACGAAUACCGAAGAAUGUUAUCACGGGAGACACACGGCGGGUGCUAACGUCCGUCGUGAAGAGGGAAACAACCCAGACCGCCAGCUAAGGUCCCAAAGUCAUGGUUAAGUGGGAAACGAUGUGGGAAGGCACAGACAGCCAGGAUGUUGGCUUAGAAGCAGCCAUCAUUUAAAGAAAGCGUAAUAGCUCACUGGUCGAGUCGGCCUGCGCGGAAGAUGUAACGGGGCUAAACCAUGCACCGAAGCUGCGGCAGCGACACUAUGUGUUGUUGGGUAGGGGAGCGUUCUGUAAGCCUGUGAAGGUGUGCUGUGAGGCAUGCUGGAGGUAUCAGAAGUGCGAAUGCUGACAUAAGUAACGAUAAAGCGGGUGAAAAGCCCGCUCGCCGGAAGACCAAGGGUUCCUGUCCAACGUUAAUCGGGGCAGGGUGAGUCGACCCCUAAGGCGAGGCCGAAAGGCGUAGUCGAUGGGAAACAGGUUAAUAUUCCUGUACUUGGUGUUACUGCGAAGGGGGGACGGAGAAGGCUAUGUUAGCCGGGCGACGGUUGUCCCGGUUUAAGCAUGUAGGCUGGUUGUCCAGGCAAAUCCGGAUAAUCAAGGCUGAGGUGUGAUGACGAGGCACUACGGUGCUGAAGUAACAAAUGCCCUGCUUCCAGGAAAAGCCUCUAAGCAUCAGGUAACAUCAAAUCGUACCCCAAACCGACACAGGUGGUCAGGUAGAGAAUACCAAGGCGCUUGAGAGAACUCGGGUGAAGGAACUAGGCAAAAUGGUGCCGUAACUUCGGGAGAAGGCACGCUGAUAUGUAGGUGAAGUCCCUCGCGGAUGGAGCUGAAAUCAGUCGAAGAUACCAGCUGGCUGCAACUGUUUAUUAAAAACACAGCACUGUGCAAACACGAAAGUGGACGUAUACGGUGUGACGCCUGCCCGGUGCCGGAAGGUUAAUUGAUGGGGUUAGCGGCAACGCGAAGCUCUUGAUCGAAGCCCCGGUAAACGGCGGCCGUAACUAUAACGGUCCUAAGGUAGCGAAAUUCCUUGUCGGGUAAGUUCCGACCUGCACGAAUGGCGUAAUGAUGGCCAGGCUGUCUCCACCCGAGACUCAGUGAAAUUGAACUCGCUGUGAAGAUGCAGUGUACCCGCGGCAAGACGGAAAGACCCCGUGAACCUUUACUAUAGCUUGACACUGAACAUUGAGCCUUGAUGUGUAGGAUAGGUGGGAGGCUUUGAAGCGUGGACGCCAGUCUGCGUGGAGCCAACCUUGAAAUACCACCCUUUAAUGGCUGGUGUUCUAACGUAGACCCGUAAUCCGGGUUGCGGACAGUGUCUGGUGGGUAGUUUGACUGGGGCGGUCUCCUCCUAAAGAGUAACGGAGGAGCACGAAGGUUGGCUAAUCCUGGUCGGACAUCAGGAGGUUAGUGCAAUGGCAUAAGCCAGCUUGACUGCGAGCGUGACGGCGCGAGCAGGUGCGAAAGCAGGUCAUAGUGAUCCGGUGGUUCUGAAUGGAAGGGCCAUCGCUCAACGGAUAAAAGGUACUCCGGGGAUAACAGGCUGAUACCGCCCAAGAGUUCAUAUCGACGGCGGUGUUUGGCACCUCGAUGUCGGCUCAUCACAUCCUGGGGCUGAAGUAGGUCCCAAGGGUAUGGCUGUUCGCCAUUUAAAGUGGUACGCGAGCUGGGUUUAGAACGUCGUGAGACAGUUCGGUCCCUAUCUGCCGUGGGCGUUGGAGAAUUGAUUGGGGCUGCUCCUAGUACGAGAGGACCGGAGUGGACGCACCACUGGUGUUCCGGUUGUGUCGCCAGACGCAUUGCCGGGUAGCUAAGUGCGGAAGAGAUAAGUGCUGAAAGCAUCUAAGCACGAAACUUGCCAAGAGAUGAGUUCUCCCAGAUUACAAAUCUGUAAGGGUUGUUUAAGACUAAGACGUAGAUAGGCAUGGUGUGUAAGCGGUGCGAGCCGUUGAGCUAACAGAUACUAAUUGCCCGAGAGGCUUAACUAU
rnacentral:rRNA from 1 species